GACGUAGGGGGCGAGCGUUGUCCGGAAUUACUGGGCGUUAAGCGCGUGUAGGUGGGCUGGUAGGCGGCGUGUAAAAGAUAGGGGCUCAACCCCUAUAGGUCGCGCCGAACCACCAGUCUUGAGACGGGGAGAGGCAGGUGGAACGAUCGGAGGAGCGGUGAAAUGCGUUGAUACCGGUCAGAACACCAGUGGCGAAGGCGGCCUGCUAGAACCGUUCUGACACUGAGACGCGAAAGCGUGGGGAGCAAACAGG
rnacentral:rRNA from 1 species